rnacentral:rRNA from 1 species
AGAACGAACGCUGGCGGCAGGCUUAACACAUGCAAGUCGAACGGUUGUAGCAAUACAGCAGUGGCAGACGGGUGAGUAACACGUGGGAACCUUCCUAGGGGUACGGAACAACUCAGGGAAACUUGAGCUAAAUACCGUAUACGUCCGUGAGGAGAAAGAUUUAUCGCCCCUAGACGGGCCCGCGUAGGAUUAGGUAGUUGGUGAGGUAACGGCUCACCAAGCCUACGAUCCUUAGCUGAUCUGAGAGGAUGAUCAGCCACACUGGGACUGAGACACGGCCCAGACUCCUACGGGAGGCAGCAGUGGGGAAUCUUGGACAAUGGGCGCAAGCCUGAUCCAGCCAUGCCGCGUGAGUGAAGAAGGCCUUCGGGUUGUAAAGCUCUUUUACCAGGGACGAUAAUGACGGUACCUGGAGAAUAAGCCCCGGCAAACUUCGUGCCAGCAGCCGC